UACGUAGGGUCCGAGCGUUGUCCGGAAUUAUUGGGCGUAAAGGGCUCGUAGGCGGUCCGUCACGUCGGGAGUGAAAACUCAGGGCUCAACCCUGAGCGUGCUUCCGAUACGGGCGGACUAGAGGUAUGCAGGGGAGACGGAAUUCCUGGUGUAGCGGUGGAAUGCGCAGAUAUCAGGAGGAACACCGGUGGCGAAGGCGGUUCUCUGGGCACUACCUGACGCUGAGGAGCGAAAGCAUGGGGGAGCGAACAGG
rnacentral:rRNA from 1 species